UGUCUUUUUGAAGUUAAUUUAAAGUCUAAUCUGCCCACUGAUUUAAUAUUAAAGGGCUGCAGUAUUUUGACUGUACAAAGGUAGCAUAAUCAUUAGUCAUUUAAUUGAUGACUUGUAUGAAAGAUUGGAUGAAGUAUAAUCUGUCUCUUAAUUAAUAAGUAGAAUUUAAUUUUUUGAUUAAAAAGUUAAAAUAGUUUAAAAAGACGAGAAGACCCUAUAGAGUUUUAUAAAUAAAGUUAAUUAAUAUUAUUUAUAAAAAUUAAAUUAAAAUUUUUUUAUUUAUUAUAUUGGGGUGAUAGAAAAAUAUAUUUAACUUUUUUUUUAUUUAAAACAUUUAUAAGUGAUUAAAUGAUCCAAUAUUAUUGAUUAUAAGAAAAAAUUACCUUAGGGAUAACAGCGUAAUUUUUUUUUUUAGUUCGUAUAAGAAAGAGAGUUUGCGACCUCGAUGUUGGAUUAAGAUAAAAUUUAAAUGUAGAAG
rnacentral:rRNA from 1 species